rnacentral:lncRNA from 1 species
AUCUUAAUCCAUCGGACCAAAAAUUUAUCUUUUUUAAAAUAAUAAUAAUAAUAAUAAUAAUUUAUAUAUUUUUUAUAAAAAUUUUAAAAUUAUUAUAAUUUUUUUUAUAAAAUUUAAUUUUUAUUUAAAUAUAAANACAAAUUCAUGUAUAAACAAGAACUAGACCAAUUUUGUAUUUGCAUGAAAAUUGAGUUGUUUUUGAGAAUAAGAAAAAUAGCAUUUGGAUAGAUAAGAUAGAAAAAGAACAAUAAAAAUUAUAAAUAGAAAAAUAAUGAUAUUGCCUCAUAUAUUAUAUUUGAAUUUAAAUUUAUAAAUUUAUAUUAAUUUUUCAAAAUUUAAAUAUAUAAUUUUAAAUUUCAAAAUUUCAAAAUUAAACUCUAAAUUUUCAAAUCGCAACUUCAAAAAUUCAAAGUUCUAAAUAUAAAUUUUCAAAUUUUAAAUUUAAGAUUAAAUCUAAUUUUUAAAAUAUUAAAUUUUAAAAUUAAAAAUUUUAAAUUUUAAAUUUAAAAUUUAAAAUUAUAAAAUUUAAUUUUAAUAUUAUAAAUUAUAGACUUUUAAAUUUUAAAUUUAAAUUUUUAAAUUUAAAAAUUUAGAAAUUAAAUAGGAGUGGGAA